GAGUUUGAUUCAUGGCUCAGGAUGAACGCUAGCGGCAUGCCUAACACAUGCAAGUCGAGGGGGAGGUUACUUUCUGGUGACUGAGACCGGCUUACGGGUGCGUAACUCGUAUACAAUCUGCCUUUCACUGGGGGAUAGCACCGAAAAAAUUUGGAUUAAUACCCCAUACUAUAUAGGGACAGGUAUCGUUUUUAUAUUAAAGCUACUGUGGUGAAAGAUGAAUAUGCUUUCUAUUAGCUAUUUGGACAGGUAACUGCUCCCCCAGGCCAUGAUAGAUACGGGUUCUGACAGGGAUGUCCCCCACACUGGUACUGAUAUACAGACCACACUCCUACGGGACGCAGCAGUGACGAAUAUUGGACAAUGGUCGGAAUACUGAUCCAUCCAUGCCACGUGCACGAUGAAAGUCUUAUGGAUUGUAAACUGCUUUUGUUAUGGAAGAAUAAAGACUACAUGUAGUUUGAUGACAGUACCUUAUGAAUAAGCAUCUGCUAACUCCGUGCCAGCUACCUCGGUAAUGCCGACGAUGCGAGCGUUAUCCUCGAAUCAUUGGGUUUAAAGGGUCUGUAGGCGGGCUUGUAAGUCAGAGGUGAAAGCGCUCAGCUCAACUGAGCAACUGCCUUUGAAACUGUUGGUCUUGAAUGGUUGUGAAGUAUUUGGAAUGUGUAGUGUAGCGGUGAAAUGCUUAGAUAUUACACAGAACACGGAUAGCGAACGCAUAUUACUAACAAUUAAUUGACGGUGAUGGAGGAAAGCGUGGGGAGCGAACAGGAUUAGAUACCCUGAUAGUCCACGCUGUAAACGAUGGAUACUAACUGUUUGGACGCGAGUUUGAGUGGGUAAGCGAAACUGAUAAGUAUCCCACCUGGGGAGUACGUUGGCAAGAAUGAAAUUCAAAGGAAUGGAGGGGGGCCCGCACAAGCGGUGGAGCAUGUGGUUUAAUUGGAUGAUACGGGAGGAACCUUACCAAGGUUUAAAUGGGGACUGACAGAGGUAGAGAUACCUUUUUCUUCGGACAGUUUUCAAGGUGCUGCAUGGUGGUGGUCAGCUCGUGCCUUGAGGGGUCAGGUUAAGUCUUAUAAAGAGCGCAACCCCUGCCAUUAGUUGCUAACGAGUUGAGUCGAGCCCUCUAAUGGGACUGCCGGUGCAAACCGAGAGGAAGGUGGGGAUGACGUCAAAUCAUCACGGCCCUUACAUCUUGGGCUACACACGUGCUACAAUGGCCGUUACAGAGAGCAGCCAGCGGGUGAGCAGGCGCGAAUCUAUAAAGACGGUCACAGUUUGGAUCGGAGUGUGCAACUUGACUCCGUGAAGCUGGAAUCGGUAGUUAUCGGAUAUCAGCCAUGCUCCGGUGAAAUACGUUUCCCGGGCCCUUGUUCACACCGCCC
rnacentral:rRNA from 1 species